AAAAUUCCCUCCCAGAUCUAAAGCUAUUUUGAAUCUCAAAGUCAAGAAGAAUUAAGAAAUUUGCUCGUAGCUCGUAGAAUAUUCAAAAACAAAAAAAAACAACAAAAAUAGUAGAAAAUCCCCAAAAAUCAGCAGAUCACUGUUACAAUGAUCAUUCUCAAGUUUCAGUUCAUAAUUUAAUUAUUUAGCCCAUUUAGGAUUAGAAAUAGGUCGGAUCUCUCUAUUUCUAUUUUAUUAUCGAAGUUCAAAGCAUUUGGAUGUGUCUGAGGCUUAUUCAAGUUUGUUCCUG
rnacentral:lncRNA from 1 species